rnacentral:lncRNA from 1 species
CGGCCAGAGCUCACAGGCCAUGGGAAGCAGCCUGAAAUCUCCUAAAUGCAACGUGAAACCAAGGUAAUUUUUGCUGUACCUAUGUUCACCCUGAGAAGCCAAUUCAAUUCAACUGGCUUCCCAAAUAACAAGCCAAAGUUUUCUAAAGUUGUAACCUAAAGGAGAUCUUUGAAUGGAAAACCACAGGGUCACAGAUCCUUCGGAAAGGAUGGGUUCCCCUCCCUGCAGCUCUUGUUGGAGCAAGAUGGCUUCGAACCAGGCCAAUUCCACUGACUCAUCCGUGGAAAGACUGUUUUUUUAAGUUAAAGGAGAAACUUAGGGUGUUCCAAUUAAAAUGUUCUUUGAAGGGUAUUUAUUGCCCACUAAUUAAUAAUUAACCCCUGAGCAAUGAGUACACAGAGUUUGCAGGGAUCACUCAGAAAAGCCACAGGAGUGAAAGCACAGGGCCUGAAAAGCCCAGGCGAUCCCUUUCAAAGCAAACAGUUUUACAAAUCUUGAAUUACAGUUCUACAACUUUAUCCCAGCAAGUAAACAGACCGUGUCUGUCUGGGUUAGCUUUCUGGCCUCACCCGACAUGGUGCCAGAUGUUUCCUAUUCGAUACAUUUUUUUAACAAUUCAGGCUUAGAUUAAGAAUGAAAGAAAACUUGUGCCUUUC